rnacentral:lncRNA from 1 species
AACUGCAUAGAUAAGUGAGCACAACAAAAUGAAUAAUCAACCAAAGAUAACUGACAGAUUAAACAUGCCAAGAAAACAUUGACCAACUACAAUAGGGAAUGGUAGUUGCCAAGAACUCCAUGCAUAGGAGCCAAAACAAACUAUGAGGUGGUAGCUCAUUGUUUUGAUAUCCGUUUUCUAGUUCUAAUGCCUUUUCAGUUUCUAACUUUAACAUCAGCCUUAAAGCUUAUAGCCAUUCAUAGUAUCAACGUAUAAGAUAAAAAUACAUCACUCUCUAAGGUAAUCAAUACCUCUCUCCGUGGGAUGAGACCCGUGGCAUGUAGAAGAAAGCCAAUAGCCACAGAGCCCGGGAUUUCCAAUGAAACUGCAAUGAGAUGGCAGUUUGAACUCAGCUUUGCUUGCGAAAAAAGGUAGCAGCUAAAUAUAGCUUUUCAGUUCACGGAUAUUUGUUUAGAAUGCAAACUAGCGAAAUCUUACCUGUCUGGUGAGAAUCUUGAAAAGUUAUUGCUUGUGGGAAUAUCACCUGCAAGAUUGUUAUGGGAUACAUUCCUGCAAUGUUUCAAGAAAAGUUAGGGGAUUAUAUAAUGCAACCCUAAACCGAAAAUAAAGUACAAAAUCUAGUGAACCGUCAACUCACAAGUUGGUAAGACUAAUACAGUUGGUUAGUGACAUCAAAUCUCCGGAUAAAUUAUUGUUUUCUAUUCUCCUGCAUUAUAUAGAACCAGCAGCUUAUAAACAAGAGCAAAUAUUCUAUUCUAAGUCAAGACCAUAUAAGAUAUUUAGGCACAUGAGGUGUUUUGCUAGAGCGUUAAGGUUUUGCGAAGGCCAUAAAAUUGGUAAAGACUAAUACAGUUGAUUAGUGACAUCAAAUCUCCGGAUGAAUUAUUGUUUUCUAUUCUCCUGCAUUAUAUAGAACCAGCAGCUUAUAAACAAGAGCAAAUAUUCUAUUCUAAGUCAAGACCAUAUAAGAUAUUUAGGCAUAUGAGGUGUUUUGCUAGAGCGUUAAGGUUUUGCGAAGGCCAUAAAAUGCCACCAUUUAUUCCAACAUGUUCUCAUUAAUACAGAUACAAUCAAUGGAAGUGUUGUGUAUGCCGGCAUGUUCUUUCCAACACUUAAAAUGUUCGGAAUUGGUGCUGAAAAAGCAACUUACAAUGAGUACAGGUCCUGAAGCUGUGCAAGUUCCCGAGGAAUAAUGCCUGAGAGAUGAUUAUUUGAAAGGUCUCUGCAAUGUAGAAGCAUAAGACAAGUACUACUUAAGGCUCUAACCUAUUUCUAUUUUCAUGGCAGAAAAAUC